rnacentral:rRNA from 1 species
UACGAAGGGGGGCUAGCGUUGCUCGGAAUCACUGGGCGUAAAGGGUGCGUAGGCGGCGUGUCAAGUCAGGCGUGAAAGCCCCGGGCUCAACCUGGGAACCGCGCUUGAGACUGGCAUGCUCGAGUUCGGGAGAGGAUGGUGGAAUUCCCAGUGUAGAGGUGAAAUUCGUAGAUAUUGGGAAGAACACCGAUGGCGAAGGCAGCCAUCUGGACCGACACUGACGCUGAGGCGCGAAAGCGUGGGGGAGCAAACAGG